CAAUAGCGUAUAUUAAAGUUGUUGCAGUUAAAAAGCUCGUAGUUGGAUUUCUGGUGGAAGCGAUCGGUCUGGCGCUUAGCGCGAGUACUUGCAUCGUCUCCGGCCAUCCUUGGGGAGAGUCUGUCUGGCAUUAAGUUGUCGGGCAGAGGAUCCUCAUCGUUUACUGUGAAAAAAUUAGAGUGUUCAAAGCAGGCUUAUGCCGUUGAAUAUAUUAGCAUGGAAUAAUAAGAUAGGACUUUGGUACUAUUUUGUUGGUUUGCGCACCAAAGUAAUGAUUAAUAGGGACAGUUGGGGGUAUUCGUAUUCCGUUGUCAGAGGUGAAAUUCUUGGAUUUACGGAAGACGAACUACUGCGAAAGCAUUUACCAAGGAUGUUUUCAUUAA
rnacentral:rRNA from 1 species